AUUGAACGCUGGCGGCAGGCCUAACACAUGCAAGUCGAGCGGAGCGGCGGACGGGUGAGUAAUGCCUAGGAAUCUGCCUGGUAGUGGGGGAUAACGUCCGGAAACGGGCGCUAAUACCGCAUACUAUCAGAUGAGCCUAGGUCGGAUUAGCUAGUUGGUGGGGUAAAGGCCUACCAAGGCGACGAUCCCUAGCUGGUCUGAGCGGAUGACCAGCCACACUGGAACUGCGACACGGUCCAGACUCCUACGGGAGGCAGCAGUGGGGAAUAUUGCACAAUGGGCGAAAGCCUGAUGCAGCCAGGCCGCGUGUAUGAAGGAGGCCUUCGGAUUGUAAAGUACUUUCAGUGGGGAGGCGUUACCCGCAGAAGAAGCACCGGCUAACUCCGUGCGAGCCGCCGGGGUAAUAC
rnacentral:rRNA from 1 species